rnacentral:rRNA from 1 species
UUGAACGCUGGCGGCAGGCCUAACACAUGCAAGUCGAGCGGUAGCACAGAGAGCUUGCUCUCGGGUGACGAGCGGCGGACGGGUGAGUAAUGUCUGGGAAACUGCCUGAUGGAGGGGGAUAACUACUGGAAACGGUAGCUAAUACCGCAUAAUGUCGCAAGACCAAAGUGGGGGACCUUCGGGCCUCAUGCCAUCAGAUGUGCCCAGAUGGGAUUAGCUAGUAGGUGGGGUAACGGCUCACCUAGGCGACGAUCCCUAGCUGGUCUGAGAGGAUGACCAGCCACACUGGAACUGAGACACGGUCCAGACUCCUACGGGAGGCAGCAGUGGGGAAUAUUGCACAAUGGGCGCAAGCCUGAUGCAGCCAUGCCGCGUGUGUGAAGAAGGCCUUCGGGUUGUAAAGCACUUUCAGCGGGGAGGAAGGCGAUAAGGUUAAUAACCUUGUCGAUUGACGUUACCCGCAGAAGAAGCACCGGCUAACUCCGUGCCAGCAGCCGCGGUAAUACGGAGGGUGCAAGCGUUAAUCGGAAUUACUGGGCGUAAAGCGCACGCAGGCGGUCUGUCAAGUCGGAUGUGAAAUCCCCGGGCUCAACCUGGGAACUGCAUUCGAAACUGGCAGGCUAGAGUCUUGUAGAGGGGGGUAGAAUUCCAGGUGUAGCGGUGAAAUGCGUAGAGAUCUGGAGGAAUACCGGUGGCGAAGGCGGCCCCCUGGACAAAGACUGACGCUCAGGUGCGAAAGCGUGGGGAGCAAACAGGAUUAGAUACCCUGGUAGUCCACGCCGUAAACGAUGUCGAUUUGGAGGUUGUGCCCUUGAGGCGUGGCUUCCGGAGCUAACGCGUUAAAUCGACCGCCUGGGGAGUACGGCCGCAAGGUUAAAACUCAAAUGAAUUGACGGGGGCCCGCACAAGCGGUGGAGCAUGUGGUUUAAUUCGAUGCAACGCGAAGAACCUUACCUGGUCUUGACAUCCACAGAACUUUCCAGAGAUGGAUCGGUGCCUUCGGGAACUGUGAGACAGGUGCUGCAUGGCUGUCGUCAGCUCGUGUUGUGAAAUGUUGGGUUAAGUCCCGCAACGAGCGCAACCCUUAUCCUUUGUUGCCAGCGGUUAGGCCGGGAACUCAAAGGAGACUGCCAGUGAUAAACUGGAGGAAGGUGGGGAUGACGUCAAGUCAUCAUGGCCCUUACGACCAGGGCUACACACGUGCUACAAUGGCAUAUACAAAGAGAAGCGACCUCGCGAGAGCAAGCGGACCUCAUAAAGUAUGUCGUAGUCCGGAUUGGAGUCUGCAACUCGACUCCAUGAAGUCGGAAUCGCUAGUAAUCGUAGAUCAGAAUGCUACGGUGAAUACGUUCCCGGGCCUUGUACACACCGCCCGUCACACCAUGGGAGUGGGUUGCAAAAGAAGUAGGUAGCUUAACCUUCGGGAGGGCGCUUACCACUUUGUGAUUCAUGACUGGGGUG